rnacentral:rRNA from 1 species
GCCUGCCCAGUGAUCAUUUCAACGGCCACGGUACCCUAACCGUGCGAAGGUAGCACAAUCACUUGUUCUCUAAAUAAGGACCAGUAUGAACGGCACCACGAAGACUAUACUGUCUCCUUUCUGCAAUCAGUGAAACUGAUCUUCCCGUGAAGAAGCGGGAAUUACUAUAUAAGACGAGAAGACCCCAUGAAGCUUCAAAUUAAAUACCAACUGCCACUUACAAUACCACUCCAGUUUACCAGGUCUGACUAUUAAUUUUAGGUUGGGGUGACCACGGAGUAAAAUAGACCCUCCACAAUGAAAGGGACCAACCCCUUAUUCAAGAACAACAAUUCUAAUAAUCAACAUAUUGACAUAACUUGACCCAAAUCUUUGAUCAAUGAACCAAGUUACUCUGGGGAUAACAGCGCAAUCCAUUUCAAGAGCCCGCAUCAACAAAUGGGUUUACGACCUCGAUGUUGGAUCAGGGUAUCCUAGUGGUGCAGCCGCUACUAAAGGUUCGUUUGUUCAACGAUUAAAACCCUACGUGAUCU